rnacentral:rRNA from 1 species
AGAAUCAACGCUGGCGGCGUGCCUCAGACAUGCAAGUCGAACGCGAAAGUCCCCUUCGGGGGACAAGUAGAGUGGCGCACGGGUGAGUAACACGUAGGUAAUCUACCUUUGGAUGGGGAAUAACAACCGGAAACGGUUGCUAAUACCGCAUAAUGCAGCGGCACCUAAUGGUGACAGUUGUUAAAGCGGGGGAUCGAAAGACCUCGCGUCUGAAGAGGAGCCUGCGGCGGAUUAGCUAGUUGGUAAGUAAUGGCUUACCAAGGCUACGAUCC